rnacentral:rRNA from 1 species
GACGAACGCUGGCGGCGUGCCUAAUACAUGCAAGUUGAGCGCUGAAGGUUGGUACUUGUACCAACUGGAUGAGCAGCGAACGGGUGAGUAACGCGUGGGGAAUCUGCCUUUGAGCGGGGGACAACAUUUGGAAACGAAUGCUAAUACCGCAUAAAAACUUUAAACACAAGUUUUAAGUUUGAAAGAUGCAAUUGCAUCACUCAAAGAUGAUCCCGCGUUGUAUUAGCUAGUUGGUGAGGUAAAGGCUCACCAAGGCGAUGAUACAUAGCCGACCUGGGAGGGUGAUCGGCCACAUUGGGACUGAGACACGGCCCAAACUCCUACGGGAGGCAGCAGUAGGGAAUCUUCGGCAAUGGACGAAAGUCUGACCGAGCAACGCCGCGUGAGUGAAGAAGGUUUUCGGAUCGUAAAACUCUGUUGGUAGAGAAGAACGUUGGUGAGAGUGGUAAGCUCAUCAAGUGACGGUAACUACCCAGAAAGGGACGGCUAACUACGUG